ensembl:lncRNA
CACCUUCAACUCACUGGGCCAGGAGCUCUGACAACAAUCCUUUGAAGCAGGUCACUUGAAGGACUAUCCUAUUUUUUUUUCCAAAAACUGGGACACAGAGUUCCCCAUGAUCAACUUCUGCACAGUCUGGACAGCUUUCUGGCAGCAGUAGAGGUUGGCCCUGCAGCUUUGGGCAAGGCCCAUGGACAAAGAGAUCGCACCUGAUGGGAACAAUCUUAAAAGCCAUCUGAUUCUGAAUUACAGGGCAGGCUGGAUGAAGACUCUCAGCUGACAAUGUGGACAUCUCAAGACAGGCACUGGACAAUGGCUGACAGACUUGUAUGAAGACUGGAAAUGUUUUGCUAUCUCACAGGAAAAGAAGGCCCCUCCCACUACACUGUACUCUAAGGAC